rnacentral:sRNA from 1 species
AUCUGUCACCCCACGAUCACCAGGGUUGAUUAGGCUGAUCUGGCUGAGUAGGACAGUU